rnacentral:rRNA from 1 species
UACGAAGGGGGGCUAGCGUUGUUCGGAAUUACUGGGCGUAAAGCGUGCGCAGGCGGUUUUGUAAGUUUGUCGUGAAAGCCCCGGGCUCAACCUGGGAAUUGCGAUGAAGACUGCAAGGCUUGAAUCUGGCAGAGGGGGGUAGAAUUCCACGUGUAGCAGUGAAAUGCGUAGAGAUGUGGAGGAACACCGAUGGCGAAGGCAGCCCCCUGGGUCAAGAUUGACGCUCAUGCACGAAAGCGUGGGGAGCAAACAGG